UAUAUACUCCCUCCAUCUGGAAAUACUUGUCAUCAAAAUGGAUAAAAGGGAUGUAUCUAGAUGUAUUUUAGUUUUAGAUACAUCCCUUUUUGUCCAUUUUGAUGACAAGUAUUUUUGGACGGAGGGAGUAUAAU
rnacentral:pre_miRNA from 1 species